GAUGAACGCUGGCGGCAGGCUUAAUACAUGCAAGUCGAACGGUAACAGUACUAGCAAUAGUAGCUGACGAGUGGCGCACGGGUGCGUAACGCGUAUGCAACCUACCCAUAAUUGGAACAUAACGUUGAGAAAUUAACGCUAAUAUUCCAUGUGAAUAUGAAUUGGCAUUCUUUUUUAUAUUUAAAGAUUUAUUGAUUAUGGAUGGGCAUGCGUAUCAUUAGCUAGUUGGUGAGGUAACGGCUCACCAAGGCGACGAUGAUUAGGGGGUUCUGAGAGGACUUUCCCCCCACACUGGAACUGAGACACGGUCCAGACUCCUACGGGUGGCAG
rnacentral:rRNA from 1 species